rnacentral:rRNA from 1 species
CAGCCGUAAACAAUGUGCGUUAGGUGUGUCGGUAACCACGCGUUACUGAUGCGCCGAAGAGAAAUCGUGAAACGCACCACCUGGGAAGUACGGUCGCAAGGCUGAAACUUAAAGGGAAUUGGCGGGGGAGCACCACAACAGGUGGAGCCUGCGGUUUAAUUGGAUUCAACGCCGGACAUCUCACCGGAUAAGACAGCUGAAUGAUUGUCAAUCUGAAGGUUUUACAUGACUAGCUGAGAGGUGGUGCAUGGCGUAGACGUCU